rnacentral:rRNA from 1 species
GAUACGCGAGAAACCUUACCAGGGCUUGACAUAUACAGGAAUGUUGUAGAGAUACAGCAGCCGCUUGCGGUCUGUAUACAGGUGCUGCAUGGCUGUCGUCAGCUCGUGCUGUGAAGUGUUGGGUUAAGUCCCGCAACGAGCGCAACCCCUAUCAUCUGUUGCCAGCAUUUAAGGUGGGGACUCAGAUGAGACUGCCGGUGACAAACCGGAGGAAGGUGGGGAUGACGUUCAAGUCAUCAUGGCCCUUAUGUCCAGGGCGACACACGUGCUACAAUGGCCGGCACAACGGGAAGCGAGUUCGCGAGGACGAGCGGAUCCCUCAAAGCCGGUCGCAGUUCGGAUUGAAGUCUGCAACUCGACUUCAUGAAGCUGGAAUCGCUAGUAAUCGUGGAUCAGCCAAGCCGCGGUGAAUACGUUCCCGGGCCUU